rnacentral:rRNA from 1 species
UACAGAGGGGGCAAGCGUUAUUCGGAAUUAUUGGGCGUAAAGGGCGCGUAGGCGGCUUUGCAAGUGACGGGUGAAAUCCCUCGGCUUAACCGAGGAACUGCCUGUCAGACUGCAUGGCUUGAGUCCGGGAGAGGUGAGUGGAAUUCCCAGUGUAGCGGUGAAAUGCGUAGAUAUUGGGAGGAACACCAGUGGCGAAGGCGGCUCACUGGACCGGUACUGACGCUGAUGCGCGAAAGCGUGGGGAGCAAACAGG